UACGUAGGGCGCAAGCGUUAUCCGGAAUUAUUGGGCGUAAAGAGCUCGUAGGCGGUUUGUCGCGUCUGCCGUGAAAGUCCGGGGCUCAACUCCGGAUCUGCGGUGGGUACGGGCAGACUAGAGUGAUGUAGGGGAGACUGGAAUUCCUGGUGUAGCGGUGAAAUGCGCAGAUAUCAGGAGGAACACCGAUGGCGAAGGCAGGUCUCUGGGCGAUAACUGACGCUGAGGAGCGAAAGCGUGGGGAGCGAACAGG
rnacentral:rRNA from 1 species